rnacentral:tRNA from 1 species
GCAGUCGUGGCCGAGUGGUUAAGGCGAUAAACUAGAAAUCCAUUGGGGUCUCCCCGCACAGGUUCGAAUCCUGUCGACUGCG